rnacentral:rRNA from 1 species
CAGCCGCCACGGGAAUACGGAGGGAGCUAGCGUUGUUCGGAAUUACUGGGCGUAAAGCGCACGUAGGCGGUUAUUCAAGUCAGAGGUGAAAGCCCGGGGCUCAGCCCCGGAACUGCCUUUGAAACUAGAUGACUAGAAUCUUGGGGAAGUCAGUGGAAUUCCGAGUGUAGAGGUGAAAUUCGUAGAUAUUCGGAAGAACACCAGUGGCGAAGGCGACUGACUGGACAAGUAUUGACGCUGAGGUGCGAAAGCGCGGGGAGCAAACAGGAUUAGAGACCCCCGUAGUCCCUGUCUCUUAUAC